rnacentral:rRNA from 1 species
CCUACGGGAGGCAGCAGUAGGGAAUUUUGCGCAAUGGGCGAAAGCCUGACGCAGCAACGCCGCGUGAUCGAGACGCCCUUCGGGGUGUACAGACCUGUCAGUGGGGACGAAACUUGACGGUACCCACAGAGGAAGCACCGGCUAACUCCGUGCCAGCAGCCGCGGCAAUACGGGGGGUGCAAGCGUUGUCCGGAAUAAGUGGGCGUAAAGAGUUUGUAGGCGGCACGUAAAGUCUGGUGUUAAAGGCAGAGGCCCAACUUCGGUACGGCACUGGAUACUUGCGGGCUAGAGUGCGGUAGAGGUAAAGGGAAUGCCUGGUGUAGCGGUGAAAUGCUUAGAUAUCGGGAGGAACAUCGGUGGCGUAGGCGCUUUGCUGGGCCGUAAUUGACGCUGAGGAACGAAAGCCAGGGUAGCAAAUGGGAUUAGAUACCCUUGUAGUC